rfam:Gorilla gorilla gorilla genomic chromosome, chr5, whole genome shotgun sequence
GCUGGGUGUGGUGGUGCGCACCUGUAAUCCCAGCUACUCAGGAGGCUGAGGCAGGAGAAUCGCUUGAACCCGGGAAUUGGAGCCUGCAGUGAGCCGACAUCAUGCCACUGAACUCCACCCUGGGUGACAGAGCAAGACUCUGUCUCAA